GACGAGGGGUCCUAGCGUUGUUCGGAAUCAUUGGGCGUAAAGCGUGUGUAGGUGGCCUUGUAAGUCAGGUGAUGAAAGGCCCCGGGCUCAACCCGGGAAGUGCAUCUGAUACUGCUUGGCGUUGAAUACUGGAGAGGAUAGUGGAAUUCCUGGUGUAGUGGUGAAAUGCGCAGAUAUCAGGAGGAACACCGGUGGCGAAGGCGGUUCUCUGGGCCUUACCUGACACUGAGGAGCGAAGCGUGGGAGCAACAGG
rnacentral:rRNA from 1 species